AUAUAUAUAUAUAUAUAUAUAUAUAUACUAAUGUUGUUGCAUGUCAAUUGCUAUAUCUCCUUGGAAUGGUUGCAAGUGCGACUACUAAGAUAUAUAAGAAAGAUAGAAAUUCAAGGGGCUUCAAUAUUGGAAACUCACACCAGAGACAGUGAAGCAGGCCUACUUUCAAGAAUUCAAAGUAGAAAUGUGUUUUUAAUUAAGUUGAACCAUCUCAUAAGGAAAGCCUUAAGGCUUAGCUGUGGGGGUUAAGUUUCACAUGGACAUUGUUGUUUCUAAAUGUAUUUUAUUUUAUAGUUUAAAUAGACGCAUUUCACAUGGGAUGAGGCGAUCAAGGAGGAUAUCUACAUGGCGUGGUUAUAGGUUGUUGUGCGGAGGUACAAAGAUUAUGUAUAUGACAUCAAGUAAGGAAUGGACGAUCCAGAAAAAGCGAGGCCCCCUUCUAUUCGCAAUGAUGAGUGGCCUGCUUGACUUGCCUACUGGGACUUUGGAGAAGGUGCAUGAUAUGUUUGCUCGGCAAAGCUAGCCUCUGGAUGGUGAAUUUGAUCCACCAGAGGUCGAUAUGAGCAAAGUCUACGUAGAGGCUGUAGGUGGGCUUGACAAAAAGAAGAGGAUAUUUGGUAUUGGUAGACUUGUAGCCAGCUUCAUGGGUGAAGAGUCGAGUGGAACAUCUCACUUCCACGAGCCUUCUAUUGAUCUACAUUGACUCUUGGAGAUGGAUCAACAAUUGUAGGAGGCCCAGAGACAGAGAGAUUAGUUCAUGGCUCAAUUCGAGACAUAAAAAAAACUUAAAAAUUAUCCACUUGUUUUUUUUUUUGCUGUAAAUUCGAGUUUUUGAGCUACAAUUCAUAACCAAUAAUAUUUAUAGUUGUGGAUUCGAGUUUAAAAUUGAAUUCACAUCUAGAAAUAGUGUUAUCCGUGAA